ACACGACUACAUUAGAUACCCCUGUAGUCCAGGGUGUAAACGCUGCGGGCUUGGUGUUGGGGGUCCUUUGAGGGCGCCCAGUGCCGGAGAGAAGUUGUUAAGCCUGCUGCUUGGGGAGUACGUCCGCAAGGAUGAAACUUAAAGGAAUUGGCGGGGGAGCACAACAACGGGUGGAGCUUGCGGUUUAAUUGGAUUCAACGCCGGAAAUCUUACCGGGACCGACGGCAACAUGAAGGCCAAGCUGAAGACUUUGCCGGAUUAGCUG
rnacentral:rRNA from 1 species